rnacentral:rRNA from 1 species
GUGCCAGCCGCCGCGGUAAUACGGGAGUGGCAAGCGUUAUCCGGAAUUAUUGGGCGUAAAGCGUCCGCAGGCGGCCGUUUAAGUCUGUUGUUAAAUCGUGGAGCUCAACUCCAUCACGGCAAUGGAAACUGUUCGGCUUGAGUAUGGUAGGGGCAGAGGGAAUUUCCGGUGUAGCGGUGAAAUGCGUAGAUAUCGGGAAGAACACCAGUGGCGAAAGCGCUCUGCUGGGCCAUUACUGACGCUCAUGGACGAAAGCCAGGGGAGCGAAAGGGAUUAGAUACCCCUGUAGUCCUGGCCGUAAACGAUGAACACUAGAUGUUGGGGGAAUCGACCCCCUCGGUGUCGUAGCUAACGCGUUAAGUGUUCCGCCUGGGGAGUACGCACGCAAGUGUGAAACUCAAAGGAAUUGACGG